rnacentral:tRNA from 1 species
GGGAAUGUGGCUUAGUGGUAGAGUGCUUGCCUUGUAUGCAUAAAGCCCUGGGUUCAAUUCCUCAGUACCA